rnacentral:rRNA from 1 species
CCUACGGGUGGCAGCAGUAGGGAAUAUUGCUCAAUGGGGGAAACCCUGAAGCAGCAACGCCGCGUGGAGGAUGAAGGUUUUCGGAUUGUAAACUCCUUUUGUUAGAGAAGAUAAUUACGGUAUCUAACGAAUAAGCACCGGCUAACUCCGUGCCAGCCGCCGCGGUAAUACGGAGGGUGCAAGCGUUACUCGGAACCACUGGGCGUAAAGGGCGCGUAGGCGGGAUAGCAAGUCAGAUGUGAAAUCCUAUGGCUUAACCAUAGAACUGCAUUUAGAACUGUUAUUCUAGAGUAUGGGAGAGGUAGGUGGAAUUCUUGGUGUAGGGGUAAAAUCCGUAGAGAUCAAGAGGAAUACUCAUUGCGAAGGCGACCUGCUAGAACAUAACUGACGCUGAUGCGCGAAGGCGUGGGGAGCAAACAGGAUUAGAUACCCGGGUAGUC